ACACUCCUGCGGGAGGCAGCAGUGGGGGAUAUUGGACAAUGGGCGCAAGCCUGAUCCAGCCAUGCCGCGUGAGUGAUGAAGGCCCUAGGGUUGUAAAGCUCUUUCACCGGUGAAGAUAAUGACGGUAACCGGAGAAGAAGCCCCGGCUAACUUCGUGCCAGCAGCCGCGGUAAUACGAAGGGGGCUAGCGUUGUUCGGAUUUACUGGGCGUAAAGCGCACGUAGGCGGACUAUUAAGUCAGGGGUGAAAUCCCGGGGCUCAACCCCGGAACUGCCUUUGAUACUGGUAGUCUUGAGUUCGAGAGAGGUGAGUGGAAUUCCGAGUGUAGAGGUGAAAUUCGUAGAUAUUCGGAGGAACACCAGUGGCGAAGGCGGCUCACUGGCUCGAUACUGACGCUGAGGUGCGAAAGCGUGGGGAGCAAACAGGAUUAGAAACCCGGGUGUCCCAUG
rnacentral:rRNA from 1 species